AACAAACGCUGGCGGCGUGCCUAAUACAUGCAAGUCGAACGGGGAAAGCUUUCGGGUGAGUACUAGUGGCGCACGGGUGAGUAACGCGUGGAUAAUCUGCGUUAGAGUGGGGGAUAACUAGUCGAAAGAUUAGCUAAUACCGCAUAAGACCACAAGAACUGCGGUUCAAGGGGUCAAAGGUUUUUCGCUCUAAGAUGAGUCCGCGUAAGAUUAGCUAGUUGGUAGGGUAACGGCCUACCAAGGCGACGAUCUUUAACUGGUCUGAGAGGAUGAUCAGUCACACUGGAACUGAGACACGGUCCAGACUCCUACGGGAGGCAGCAGUAGGGAAUAUUGCACAAUGGAGGAAACUCUGAUGCAGCGACGCCGCGUGAGUGAUGAAGGCCUUCGGGUCGUAAAGCUCUGUCGCAGGGGAAUAACACAAUGAAGGCACCCUGUAAGAAAGGAUCGGCUAACUUCGUGCCAGCCGCCGCCGUAAAAC
rnacentral:rRNA from 1 species